rnacentral:misc_RNA from 1 species
GUCUGUACCAAGCAGGACCUCCCCAGGCCUACAGUGACCUUCUUGAGCUAACGCAACAUGGCAAACACCUUUGUAAUCUGGGUUCACCCUAAAAUCACUAAGAUCCUUAAUAUCAUAAAAGUACUUGAUAUUCUGUUCUUUUGAGAAGUCUCUCAGAAUGUCCACAUUACGGUUAGCGCGUUCAUCACUGGUAAAUAUGUAAUGGUCAGGUAUAAUCACGACCUUUUCUCGGUCCCAAACCUUUGCGUUCUCUCCGAACUCCUUUUUAAAAAUUCCAAUAGAACCAGGACCGCAAACAUCGUGAGUCAUUAAAACGUCCACAUCAACCCAAACAUUUUCACCUGGGCUCAACUCAGUUUUUUUAGAAGCUUUAGCAAAUAUCUUUUCUGUCAUAGUCAUGGCUGUUUUGACCGAGCCAGUGGCGCUGGGCUUGCGUUCCGAUUGCUGUGGUGUCAUGACCGAACAUAUUUUCUUCGAUACAGUUCUCUCGCACCUCCGAUAGGAAAACGGCAACGACGACGAAAAAGCAGCGACGUCCAAUUCCUUCUUGUUGCUCAAGAAGGCCGUUGAUGUCAAGGCCGAACCGGUGGAAGCAGCCAUGGACGCA